AAUGGGCGCAAGCCUGAUCCAGCAAUGCCGCGUGAGUGAUGAAGGCCUUAGGGUUGUAAAGCUCUUUCGCACGCGACGAUGAUGACGGUAGCGUGAGAAGAAGCCCCGGCUAACUUCGUGCCAGCAGCCGCGGUAAUACGAAGGGGGCUAGCGUUGUUCGGAAUUACUGGGCGUAAAGGGCGCGUAGGCGGCCCGAUCAGUCAGAAGUGAAAGCCCCGGGCUCAACCUGGGAACUGCUUUUGAUACUGUCGGGCUUGAGUUCCGGAGAGGAUGGUGGAAUUCCCAGUGUAGAGGUGAAAUUCGUAGAUAUUGGGAAGAACACCGGUGGCGAAGGCGGCCAUCUGGACGGACACUGACGCUGAGGCGCGAAAGCGUGGGGAGCAAA
rnacentral:rRNA from 1 species